rnacentral:lncRNA from 1 species
AUGGGGCUGUGCUACAGCCUGCGCUCCCGCCUGGCCGCGGCGCGCCCCUCGGUGCCGUACGGCGGCCGGGGCGAGGCGGACCCCCCCCCGGUGACAGCGGAGCACGGCGACCCGCAGGUGCGGCACCGGCUGCGGCAGGACCUGGUGGCCAAGGAGCGGGCGGACAAGAAGCGGAGCAAGAGCAUCGACAAGACGCUGAAGGCGGAGAAGAGGGAGUACAAGCAGACGCACAGGCUGCUGCUGCUCGCUCUUCAGGCUGAUGUGCUCCUGCAGACACAGAGCAAUGGUGUGAAUGGUGAAGGACACUGCAGGUGGCUGCUUUUUCUCUGAGACUGACAGAACUUAAACGAGAACUGUACCGAUGCUUCAGGUCUGGUCUGUAUCAGAAGUUACUUUAUCUUUAAGGUACACCUGCAUUAGCUCGCUGCAAACAUCAAGAGCUGAAAAGCUGCACAGCAAAUCCAGAGUUUACUCCUGUCACAUGCUUUGGUGUACAGAAUGUAGUGAAUGCACAGUCAGGUGUGUCUGUGCCUGGGUGUGUUUUGUUUUGUGAUGUGGAUAACAUACCUUAAAGCUAUAAGCUCUGGUCUGUUACAUGCAAUAUUAGAAUGCUGGUCAGUGUGACUGAUGCUUGACAUUCAGUGUUGCGUUUUUUUUAGACCUACUACAGUUCCUUGCUUUGUCAGUGUUCUCAGGGAUGUGCAGUGCAUGUGGGUAUCCCUGUCCUGUUACUUGAUUUAUUUUUUUUCCUCUUUCAUUGCUUUUCAACCAUUUCUUGACAUCAGGUAAAUUACUACUUCCUAAAACUUCUCUUAAUUUUUGUGGGACAAAGGUUUUACAUCUGCUGUAUCUUUGAAGCAGUAAUUUGACUCCAUACUUGUGGUAGUACAUGAGUUUUUCCCUUUGUGCAUUUCCCUUUCACACAAACAAUCAGAUGUGAUUUCAUUGGAUUUUGUUUAAUGCGCUGCAUGUGGGUGUACCAAGUCUCAACUUAAGACUCUGCUCAUAAUUAUGACAGUUCAGGGCUACUACAGUGUAUUGAAGGGUGUUUUUCAGAGUGUGGGGGCUUUCUUUGUUUUGGGAACAGUCUUGAUCCUAAAUUGGAAGUGUGCUUAUGGGGGAAUUUUAAACUUUGCUGUAGAACAAUUCCACUAUGUGUGCGUCCCACUGGUGACUUUAAUAUUGAUCUUCCUUGACCUUUUUUUUAAGACUUGUAUUAUAAUUCAUCAUAAAUUUCGUUUGUUUUCAUAUAUUUGUUAUAUAAUAAAACCCCAGGGAAAGUAAUAACACUUUGAUGUUUUUGAUCAGUUAGUAUUUUUCCAACAACAAUUCAAAAAAUCAUCAGAAAUGUGCUCAGCUCUCCUGGUGCUUGUGUUGCUUUGCUAUGAACUCUCACCCAUGUGAGAGGUACUUAUGGCUUAUUCCCAUAGAGAAAUGGGGACUUAGGUAUCUUUGUAUGUAAAUAGAGAUGCAUGUACUUGUUAUCUGGGGUAUUUAACUACAACAUACUAAACAGUUCUGAAUCUUACCUAAAUCAGUUCUUAAAUAAUUGUUAGAAGUGUUCUUACUUAUAGGUACAAAUAUGAAUACAGGCAUGCAAAUUAAAAGCUUUUGUAGGGGAAAUACAUUACACGGGGAAAAAAAAUGCUUUAAGAAGCUAGAAAAUAUCAGCAUGAAGACUAACCGCAGUUGCUCUUUCUGUGUGUGUGCUGCAUGGUAAGCCCCUGGAUAACAUAUAAUUAAAGACUGUCUUGUAUGGUUUACAUUGUAUUUUCUUCCACAGGGCUUGUACUUCAUUGAGUGCACAAGAUGGAUGUUGUGCAGUGAAUGAGUGGCUAUUCAAUAUUCUUAUCCUCCUCGUACAAUGUGUUACCCCGUGCCCUAUUUAUGACACGCCAUCCGUACCCCGUACUGAAUAAAGAACUGUUGAACUCCUUGUGGGCUUUUCUGCAGCCCUGAUCACUGCAGGGAAUGUAGUCUCGACAAAUGUCAGUGGCUGUGUCUGCAUGGCACUACUGUGAAAUGAGGUGGCAUCGUUCUCCUGCUUUUAUGGAUGCUGGGGAGGGAAAUACGGCCAUAGAAGGACUAAGGCUAAAGCUGUCCGAAGCUGCCAUAAAGUUUAAAUGAGUGAUCUUUGCCUAAUGUUAACUUUUCUGCAUAGCACUCAGCUUCUUUUAUU